UCUCUCCUUGCGUGAGUAAGCAACUCAGACACCGCUUCUUCCCGCUGUCCCCAGCUUCCCCCGCCGGACCCGCGCCCCAGCCAUUCCCGGCAGGUGGAGGACGCUCUCCUUCUCCAGCUGCCCGGUGUGUAUGUGGGAAAAACGCGGGGAACGGGGAACAAGGCGGGGAACACGGAGGCUCUUCCCGGCCGAGUUUCUGUGCGAGGCCGCUCUGCCCUGGAGCGCUGGCCGUGGCGUCGGGACACGGGACCGGGCUGCGGGAGAGAGCGACAGCCCUACACGGGUCCGUCACAGCCCACGGCACACCAAGGGUCAAUCUUCACUUUCCCUUCUCACCGUCGACCGCCCCUCCUUCCGCUGUCCCUUUAAGCCGCCAAGAAAUAAGGUUUUCCAGCCCUAGGAAAAUGUUUUGGCAGAAGGGUUUCACUUCGCAUUUUUCAGAGCACUAUGUAACUUAGCACUCAUUCACUUUCUCGCCCGAGGCGGACAAGGAUUACUACCCUCUUUUCACAAAGGUGUCGGAGGUGAGGCUUGAUAAGACAAGGCUGCAUCUGCACCAGGUCUUUGAGGAGUCCAGUUUGAGGGAUUUCAGCAGUUCCACCGUGGACUUAAGUACUUGAGAACUUGAGCACAAAGUAUUUUGCUUUUGCAGACACGCAGCAGUGCCCUAAUCUGGCAGGACUGACUGGCCAGCAUCUAACCUGGCUAACACAUGGCAUAGGUGUUGUCAGGUAGGCAGGCUUCUAGCUCCGACCUAGCAUGAAGCACAGCAGUGUUGUAAAAUGGAGCAGUAAGCUGUUGCUGUAUUUCUUUAAUUCCAUGACUGGGAGCAUUCACCCAGAUCAUGGGAAAGUUCAGUCCAUCAGAUAUCUGCCGGUGGGUGAAUGAGAUGCGUUUUCCUCUUAAUUGGCAACAGGCUAAUUUUGGUCAUCUCCAGCUUCCUUGUGAAGCUGUGUCAUGCAAGAACUUCCUGAAGCUGAGUAAGGUGGUGAAAGAUGGGAACUAGAGGACAGGGCUAGAAGGACCUCCACAGUGUUCUCUAAGGAUGGUUUCUGGGUUGGACACAUGCAUAAUGAGAACAUGGAAGCAGCCCAGAGCAGAUCUUCUCCCUUCCCUCCCUUGGUCCCAUACAAAGCAUCCCCAAGCCCUCAUUAGGCUGAAACAUUAUUUAGAGAAUAUUGAAUGUUAUUCACUCAUCUGGAAGAGCUAUAACGGAAGAGGAGAGCGCCUCCUGUCCAAAAAUAACCAAUGCUUCCACAGUUAGUGGGUAUGUGUGUGAGAAAAGGGUUUGGUGUAGCAUAGUGAAGAAAAUAGAGCUGACUGUAGCUGUUUUACUUGACAGAAUAAUAUGCUAAAUAAAGGCAUAGCUGACUUUCUCUCUGGAAAGAGCUGGGUAGGGAGAGAAUUUAAAAUAUAACCUGCAUGGGGAUUUCUCUUUUGACAGUCCCUUGGUAUCUGACUGCAGGUCUUUAUGGAUUCAGAAAUCAGGUGUGUGUUUUUCUAGGUGCACUGCACAGAGUGUGUCAUUCAGUCACCUGCUUCCGCUCUACAUGCCUUUCAUCAGCUCAGCCUGUGUGACAGCUGUUCAUCAUGGCUGGGUUGGGACUAUCUUUUGUAAGGAUAAUCAGUGGAUAAGCAAUUGAUCUGGGACAUAUAUGCGGGUGAACCCUAGGAUGCUCCUGCCAUGCUGGGAGUCGAUGGAACAGCUCCCUCACCAAGAGCCUCCCACAAGAAUGGUUUCAGGAAGGCCACCAGCUCCUUUUCUACCUUCUUUACUUGAUAGGUCUUCAUUGCAUCACAGGUUCGACAGUCCAGAGAUUUUUCAGCCAUACUAGUGAGUGAAAUUUUCACAUUUUUCUCCUCCACCAGCAAGAGUAAAUUCAAAUUCAUUCAUAUCUAAAUCCUAUUUCAAAUAAAUUCAAGCAUCUUGAUUCCAGGAAAGUCUGGAUCCUAAAGCUGGGCAGAUUUUAUCUCUCAUUGUAUUAUAUUUAUGUUCCUUUUGUCACUGGACAUUUGCAGCUUGUUAUCUUUUGAUUGCUUUUUUAAAGUGCAUGUGCAAAAAAAAUACUUGCAAAAGCAAGCAUCUUUUUUUAUAAUUUGUUCCAUUUGGCUCCACAUAUUCAGGAAUCAUUUCCAUACUUUUUAAAUAGUUCUCUAAUAAAUAAUGUGUGCAGAUUUGGUCCCAGAAGUGCAGGAGUGGUAACCAUGCCAUUCCCCCUCUGGCUGAUCACUGUUACUCAUCUUUGCUGACUUCAGGCUACCAAACCAUUACCACUGUUUUAUGCCUGACAGCUGUUUCACAGGCAUGACAGCACUGAUGAACUUUAUAAAAAGGUGAGACCUUUAAAAAGGAUUGUACAGAGCUCUGCUUGUGACCCCAGGAGUUACAAUCUUCAGACUGUAACUGCUGCUUCUCCAGUUUGUCAAGGAUUCACUGCUUCCUGAAGGAUUUCUGUCUCAUCUGUGAAAGCUGGCUUCCUGCAACUUAAAAACUUGACUGUCAUUCCUAGGACUCCUUUCCUAUUAUCACUUUGAUCUUUUCCAGGAGCUGUCACAGUGCUCAAUUACCUUGUAAGAUGCUUCCUGAUUUUAAGAGGAAAUCUUCUAUUUGAUUUAAGCAUCCUGGCAACUUAAGGGAGAAACUGAGGAGAAUUGUGACCUGGGAAUAUAAAGAGAAGAGUGCACAAGGGAGACUCCUUUGGAUGGCUGGAAGACGCUCAAGAUCUGAAGGAGAUUGAAACGUCUUUGUCUAUUCAGGUGAAUUUUCAUGGGGUUUAGACAGCAAUUGCACAGCAGCUUUUCCAGCAUGUUUCUGUUGGGGGUGUGGAAAGAGGAGUAAUAAGUGCUUUCUAAAUUUCGAUAAGAGAGUUGCCACUCUGCCAUGAAUAACAAAAAGAGACAGUCUGAGCCCUCCUUUUCAGCUUUACUCCAGGCCCUGCUUACUGACAGUCCCUCUGCGUGUCUCAGCAGUGCUGAGAUAGACAGGCUCUGCUACAGCAUCCACUCUCAGGUACUGCCAAUUCCCAUCAUCCUGUGCUGUGGUUUGAAACCAGGUUAGCAAAAUCAGGUUUUAAAACAGUGAGUACAAUAGGGAAGAUCAGUUCCAGAUGACUCAAAGCCUUCCCACUCUUCCCCUUCCCUUUAUUCUUUCCAACAUCAGUUUUCAACAUAGAAGGAAACAAAAUCUCACAUGCUGGGCUCUGGUUCUUUGAACUUCAGUGCUUCAGUUUUCAAUAAUGAAAAUUUUAAAUAUUUGUCAGGACAAGAGGAUAUAGACUCAAGCUCCACCAGGGAGGUUCAGGUUGGAUAUUCAGGAAGAAUUUUUUCACUGAAAGGGUGUUUGUCCUGGAUUGUCAAGCAAAUUGUAUUCUAUUUGCCAUCUGUAUGGCAGUUGUCUUCUGUUAAGUGGGCAGUUUUCCUUAUCUCUUCUACAACCACUCCUUCCUCUGGGGAGACAUCUGCUUAUAAUAGGCUAUGGAAUGUCACUGCAUGACUGAUAAGAACUAUAACAUCCCAUUGUGAGAUGCUCCAGCACAGAGGGAAGAGCCAAGCAUUCCUACCCAGUUAUAAUCUUGAGAUUCUGGAACACCAGCAGUGCUUCUCCACUGGAUUCCCAGAGGAACAGCUGGCUCUUCCACUGGAUCUUCAGAGGAAGAGUACACCCUUCUACAGGAUCCCUGCUCCAACAGAACCACACCUGACACUCCAGGAGGACUGCAGCCAC